AAAGUCGUAACAAGGUUUCCGUAGGUGAACCUGCGGAAGGAUCAUUAUUGAAUAUUCUUGAUGAGUUGUAGCUGGCUCUCCGGGGCAUGUGCACGCUUGUCUUGACUCUAUUCAUCCACCUGUGCACCUUUUGUAGUCUUGGGGGUUGAAAGCAGUCGACUAUCGGAUGGCUACGGCUACUCCGGAUGUGAGAAAUGCUGAGCGCAGAGACGCAUACAGCUCUUCUCAAAUGACUUGCAUACCCUUGAGUACUAUGUAUUCAUAUACCACGUCGUAUGUUGUAGAAUGUGAUCAAUGGGUCUAUGUACCUAUAAUAAUCAUAUACAACUUUCAGCAACGGAUCUCUUGGCUCUC
rnacentral:misc_RNA from 1 species